GAUGAAGAACGUAGCGAAAUGCGAUAAGUAAUGUGAAUUGCAGAAUUCAGUGAAUCAUCGAAUCUUUGAACGCACAUUGCGCCCGCCAGUAUUCUGGCGGGCAUGCCUGUUCGAGCGUCAUUACAACCCUCAGGCCCCCGGGCCUGGCGUUGGGGAUCGGCGGAGCCCCCCGUGGGCACACGCCGUCCCCCAAAUGCAGUGGCGGUCCCGCCGCAGCUUCCAUCGCGUAGUAGCUAACACCUCGCGACUGGAGAGCGGCGCGGCCACGCCGUAAAACACCCAACUCUUCUGAAGUUGACCUCGAAUCAGGUAGGAAUACCCGCUGAACUUAAGCAUAUCAAAGCGGAGGA
rnacentral:misc_RNA from 1 species